GUUGUAUAAAAACGUAGUUAGCGCUAACUGCAGUUAAAAAGUAGUUAAAAAGUGAUUAACUUUAAUCACGUAGUUAAGCCGGUUGUAUAAAAGUGUAGUUAGCCUUAACUGCAGUUAAAAAGUAGUUAAAGUUAACUAUGCUUUAGAGUAUAGUUAACUGUCCAAAACGUAGUUAAAAAUGGCGUUUGUAUAGGAGUGAACAACAUUUUUCAGUAAAACAACAAUGAAAAGCAACGCUUACCUGAGAUUUUCAAUCGCUAUUUUCCCUGUCAAUGUUUCCUGAUAAUAUAAACUCUUCAAACGCUAUCGCUUUGGUGUUUUUACGAAAACAGAACAUAUUUUUGCACAGGACGAUUUCUCGAAGACGAAGUAUGGUCCAUUACACCAAGAAACACUGAUAUAUAAUUGCCAAACAGCUAUACCUUGGUUUAACGUAGACAUCUCAAG